CUUUGUUGUGUUAGCGGCUUUUUCGUCUCUCUUUUUUCCCUCGAUCCAAGUUCACUGAAAUUUUGAACCAUUAAACACUGAAGGAGUAUAGCAGCAGUAAGAGAUUGAGUUCUUCUGUUUCCUUUGCUUCCAAUUUUAUCUGUGGUAGAUGAUGAUGAUGAUGGAUGGUGUGGUGUUCAAAAUCCCAUCGUUUAAGUUCCUAAACCCCAGCCCAGCCGCCUCUCGGAGCCCUGCAAUUAUACGGUGUGGCUUGCCUAGAUUCUCUUGUUCUUCUAUCCCCGCAUUAGCUACCACUGGCCGAGAGGGUGACCAGGCCCUUGGUUCCCUCUCCCUAGGUCACAUCACUCGACCUGAUUUCCCUAUCCUUCACCAGGAGAUAAAUGGCUCAAAACUUGUGUACUUAGAUAAUGCUGCAACGUCCCAGAAGCCUAUUUCAGUGUUGAAGGCUUUACAGAACUAUUAUGAAACUUACAAUUCAAAUGUUCACCGAGGAAUUCACUAUUUAAGUGCGAAGGCAACUGAUGAGUAUGAGUUGGCCAGAAAGAAGGUGGCAGCUUUUAUAAAUGCUUCUGAGUCCAGAGAGAUUGUUUUUACCAGGAAUGCUACUGAAGCUAUCAAUUUGGUAGCCUACUCCUGGGGCCUUGCAAAUUUAAAAUCAGGAGAUGAGGUUAUACUUACAGUUGCUGAACAUCACAGUGCAAUUGUUCCAUGGCAAAUUGUAGCUCAGAGGACUGGUGCUGUUCUGAAAUUUGUAACUCUGAAUGAAAACGAAGUUCCAGAUAUACAGAAAUUAAAAGAAAUAUUCUCAAAGAAGACAAAACUUGUAGUUGUUCAUCACAUCUCAAACGUCCUUGCUUCUUUCCUUCCUGUUGAAGACAUAAUCCAAUGGGCACAUGUUGUUGGGGCUAAAGUGCUUAUAGAUGCUUGUCAAAGUGUUCCACACAUGGUGGUUGAUGUCCAGCGCCUUGACACUGAUUUUCUUGUUGCUUCUUCUCACAAGAUGUGUGGGCCCACAGGCAUUGGAUUCUUAUAUGGUAAAAGUGAUCUCUUGUCCACAAUGCCUCCAUUUUUAGGUGGUGGAGAAAUGAUCUCUGAUGUAUUUUUAGAUCAUUCUACUUAUGCAGAUCCUCCAUCAAGAUUUGAGGCAGGAACUCCUGCAAUUGGAGAAGCAAUUGGGCUAGGAGCAGCAAUUGAUUAUUUGUCAGGAAUUGGCAUGCAAAAGAUUCAUGACUAUGAG
rnacentral:misc_RNA from 1 species